rnacentral:lncRNA from 1 species
CGCAUUCCGCAUUCCCCAGAACCUCACUGGACCUUGACAACCGCACCUGGACAGCCGUUGGCUGUAACGCCAGGUGACAGCAGCAGCUCCUGAAUCUCAGCGCGAGACACUUACAGGCAAACGGCAGACACGGCAGCCUGUGUGCGCCCUGUCCUGGCUGCGGAUGCUUCUGGAUGAGGGGGGAGGACAGAGGAUGUGAGAAACGAGCAAGGAAGGAGACGCCAUGGAGGAUGUCGCCGUGUGAUUCCAGCUCUGUGGCGUUCUGGAAAAGGCACAGUGAUGGAGCCAGUGAGAGAGGUGGCAGCAGCACGGAGACCACACUCUCUGAGGAGGACAGACAGAAGGACAGCCGGUGAAAGAUGAGGACGGUGGUACAGCCUCGGAAGCCAGCCUGCAGAGGGCCGCGCACGAUAGAGGGGACGGAGGCACUGUUGGAAAAUGUAGCCCUGGGUGUCAGUCUCGGAAAGCCUGUUUCCGAACCAAACAACAGCUACGAAGAGGGUGGAAAGGGAAGCAGGGAACCUGCNGCACGGAGACCACACUCUCUGAGGAGGACAGACAGAAGGACAGCCGGUGAAAGACGAGGACGGUGGUACAGCCUCGGAAGCCAGCCUGCAGAGAGGGCCGCGCACGAUAGAGGGGACGGAGGCACUGUUGGAAAAUGCAGCCCUGGGUGUCAGUCUCGGAAAGCCUGUUUCCGAAACAAACAACAGCUACGAAGAGUGUGGAAAGGGAAGCAGGGAACCUGCGGGGGAAAGAGGAGCCACACGGACACCCAGGAGAGGCGGUACCUGAACACCCCACUCAUGUGCCUCUCAGCAGAUUUCUAA